UGUACCUCCUCUGAAAAAGUUACAUUCACGCUUGAUAGGUAAGAGACAAUCUUCAAGAAGUAAUCGAUGUUCUCAUCCAUACUCCGAGUAUCGACCAUCUUAAAGGUAUAGAAUUUGUGCUGCAAGUGAAUUAUAUUUGGUAGAGUCUUUGAAAGAUAUAACCUCUCCAGUGUAGACCAUGUAGAUGCAGCUGACAUACGCAACUUGAUCUUCCUUAACACAUGAUCUCCCAAAUUUAGAAUGAUCAGAUUCAUCGCCUUCUCUGAUCUUUCAAGCCUUUCGGCUUCCUCCUUUUUAAUUCUUUUCUUUUUGUGGUGGAACCAUACUUAGAAGCCCUUCAUUUUGUUUCUCUCUCUCUCUCUCUCUCUCUCUCUCUAUAUAUAUAUAUCUCUCUCUCUCUCUCUCUCUCUCUCUCUCUCUCUCUCUCUCUGAUAAAAAACCAUUGAUUUGUGUUCUGCUCAGCGGCCACGUUUCGCAGCCGUCUCCGCCUUUGUUUCUCCUCCUCGCUUGGAGCCUUCUCUCUAUCGCCUCUGAUAUGCUUAUAGUUCUGAGGCUGGACAUCACCGCGGAUCUGUUGGUUUUAGUCUUGGAACGGCGGCGAGGUGGUGAGAUUUAGCGGGUUUUCAUGGUUUCUCGGGUGGUAAGGCGGCGGAAGUUCAGGUCUGGGGUCCAUAUCUAUGUGUUGAAGACGAGUAUCUUUCUCUUCUACCCCCCCCCUCUUUUUUCUUUGGUUAGGGUGUGUUCCUCUCGCGAUUCUAUUCCAGUGAUGGAGUUUGAGGUUCCGGUCUGGGGGAGUGUUUCUUCAAUUUCGCCUUAUGUCUCUCUCCUGGUUAUUUUAGACCCGUCAGUCGGAUCUCAUGGUGGUUUUCCGGGUGAAGCCAUUAUUUCUCUCUCGCUAUCUCUCUCUUGGAUCAAAAACUCUAGAUAUGUGUUCUUCUCAGCGGCCGCGUUUUGCUGCAGACUCCGCCUUUGUUUCUCUGUUUCUCCUCCUCGCUUGAAGUCCUUCUCUCGGCUCUGAUAUGCUUGUAGUUGUGAGACUUGACCAUCACCGCGGAUCUGUUGGUUUUAGUUUUGGAAUAGUGGCGAGGUGGUGAGAUUUAACGGGUUUUCAUGGUUUCUCGGGUGGAUGAAGCAGCGGAAGCUCAGAUCUGGAGUCUAGAUCUACGUGUUGAAGACGAGUAUAUUUCUCUUCUACACCUCUCCUCCUCUUUCUUCGGUUAGGGUGUGCUCCUCUCGCGGUUCUGUUCUGGUGGUGAAGCUUGAGGUUCCGCUAUGUGGGAGUGUUUCCUCAAUUUUGCCUCAUGUCAUUCUCUUGGUUCUUUUAGACCCGUCAGUCAGAUCUCACGGUGGUUUGUCGGGUAAAGAAAUUAUUUCGUGGUAGAAUAGAUCUUCUUCGGGUUCUUCGGCGGAGAGACACAUGGGACCAAAGAUCUAUGGGUUUGUCAUCCUAGGUCCUCGGUUCUGUGACAGCGCAUGUAGUUCUGGUCAGUCUCAGGGGAUUGAUCAAGGGCUUUUUCCUAACUGCUCUAUGCGGAGUGGUGCUGGUUUGCUCUAUUUUCUCUGUUUCAGUGUAGCUUCGCUAGCUGGGAGACAGGUGAUGUUGUCAAUGUAUCUCGGAGAUGCCAUUGUGUUGAGGUUAUCCGUUUUGAACCGAACUUUUUGCAAGCCGUAUUCUACCGAGUCUGUUUUUUUUGUGUGAUAUGUUGACAACCUAUUGUGAAUCCUAGUGGUCUCAGCGAUAGCUUGUUCUUUUAGCUGCUUGGCUUUUCUUUUUUUUUUUGAAA